rnacentral:sRNA from 1 species
AUAAAGUCCCAGUUGCUGGCAACGAGAAGACAGUUGGCGCCGCUGUCUACAACAGCGCGCAUGGCAGCCUCGACGAUAUCAAUCGACAGGCUCCCACGCCCGACGAAGUAGCAACUCUCCGCCGUGUCCCUGGAAAGGUUCCGUGGAUUUCUUUCUCUAUCGCUUUCGUCGAGUUGUGUGAACGAUUCUCCUACUAUGGAACCAUUAUCGUGUUUGUCAACUUCAUACAGCGGGAAAUGCCUGAGGGCUCUACGACUGGUGCUGGUGGUACUGAUCGCACUGCUGGUGCAUUGGGCUUGGGACAACGAGCUUCCACUGGUCUAACUCUAUUCAAUUCCUUUUGGUCCUACAUCAUGCCACUGGUUGGUGCUUAUGUUGCCGACGAACAUCUGGGUCGGUUCAACACGAUCAUGUACUCGAUUGGUAUUGCGCUCGUCGGACACACAAUUUUGAUUAUAUCAGCAAUUCCACCUGUGCUCAAAAACCCGAAUGGCGCUAUUGGCUGCUUUGCGGUUGGUCUCGUCAUCAUGGGAAUUGGAACUGGUGGCUUCAAAUCCAACAUUUCCCCUCUGAUUGCAGAGCAGUACACAGAAGAAUACAUGUAUAUCAAAACGACAAAGAAAGGCGAGCGUGUGAUCGUGGAUCCCUCUGUCACUAUUUCCCGAAUCUACCACUAUUUCUAUCUCAUGAUCAACAUUGGAGCCCUCAUUGGUCAGAUAUCCAUGGUUUACGCCGAGAAAUACGUUGGCUUCUAUCUUUCAUUCCUCCUCCCCACUUUCAUGUUU